AAGAAAACAUUUAAAAUAAAAAAAGCAAAGUUGAAGCACAUAACCUUGCUCAAAUGGUUCCAAUUCUUCCAAGCACUCUUCAAUCACCAAAGGGGAGGAUUCUGCUCUAAGCCAGUCCUGAGUGCACACAAGCGCUUCCACCAAUCUUGGAGUUAAAGAACUCCUAAAGCAGUCCAGUACUCUUCCAGACGUACUGAAAGCAGAUUCAGAGGCAACAGUAGAGAUAGGGACAGCAAGAAUAUCUCGAGCCAUCCUCGAAAGGAUUGGAAAUCUCCCUGAGUUUAGCUUCCACCACUUCAAAAUAUUGAAUGCAUCAUCAUUCUCAACCGUAGCUUCACUCAGGUGGUGGCAGGACUGGUGUUUGAGCAGAAACACCCUCUGAAGAUUGACUAAGACUCACAUAUGCAGAUGAAGUAGCAUUCACAGAGGCUUUUUGAUACUCAACAAACAGACUAGUCAACUUAUCAUUGACAGUUUGAAACAAUUUUGGUCCUUCAUCAGACCCAAAUAAACUAGAUAAAGCAAACAGGAGAUGUUUCAUUUUGUUUGUUGGAUCAAAGACAUGUGAAAAAAAAAUCAAAACAUUCAUCUUCUGAGGAUCA